UAGUGAAUAAUGAGUCUGGGACUAUCAUUUUAAAUUGCUUUAUUUACAGUUACAAUAAUUUUUUAUUUCUUUGAGAAAAUUUGAUUCUAAAAACAAAAUUUUUUCUUCAAAGUUUAAUACAUCAUAUCAAGGGAUUUAUUCUUCCUUACCUGUUGAAGUUCCUCUGAAUCACAAACGAUUUGUUUGUGAUCUUACCCAAGCCGAUUGUCUUGCCCUCUAUGAUUUUGUAAUUGAGGAGACAAAGAAAAAGCGCUCUGAUUCCCAAAUUAUUGAAAAUGACAGUGAUCUCUUUGUAGACUUGGCUGCAAAAGUCAAUCAAGAUAACAGUCGAAAAAGUGCAAAGUCUUACCUUGAAAUCUUGGCAGAAGUGAGGGAUUAUAAAAGAAGACAUCAGACCUAUAGAGCUAAGAAUGUUCACAUUACCAAGAAAUC